GCAGCUUUGUCACAUCUCCUGGCGGUUCAAAUGUCCACCGGAAGCGUUGUGAAGCGGAGGGUCUUCAAGCUGUUAUUAGCAGUCACAUUUUCAAUAUAGUUUAGAGUUAUCAUUUGCAUCAUUAAACUUUAACACUAACACUAUUCAUGUUAACUGACAAUAGAUAUUGUCAUUUAUAUACUCUCACAAGUGAAUUUCACUCUUUCAGACACAAGAACAGAUCUGGAAAAAAUAAACCUGCAUAAAGAUAACGGUGUUGGGAAAAAGCUGCACAUGAACUGCAAAAAAGAUGCUCUUGUCACUCAUAUUGUGCAUUUGCGGAAUGGCAGCAGAUCAUCUCCAGUAGCUGCAACAGAGUCAAAACUCUCCGUCACUAAGGGUCCUGACGGGGGUCCGUCGUGCCCCGGUGCUAUGACGGAUUCCCCACCGAAGCUUCCCCCACACAUAGUAGCCUAACAAGCGAACAGCGAGUCAAGUCUCCCACACAAUCUUGUUUUAUCAAUAAAUCAUUUAAACGUA